UCUUCAUCUCCACACCCUUGCCUUUUCCGUUGCACACUCAGUGGGGCAUCCCAAAUAACCCAGUCAGCACAGAGGAGUCAGUCCAGUGGUAACAGAUUGACAUCUUGACCUUCAGGGCAAAAAUAUUUUCCUACUCUGGCAGUGUUUAGUAAAAAAACUCAAAUGCAGUAAUAAUUAGAAAAUAUUUAUGUUGUCUAAAAAGCCCCAGACAAGGUUUUUGAAAAGGAUUUGAAAAAAAGGUUUUAAAAAUGUUUUUUGAAUGUCUAAGUAAUUCUAAGAGAAACGUCUGAACUUAAAUAAUUAUUUAUAGAUUUAUAAAAGUCCCUUGUAGAAGUUAAUUGCUUUAAUUAAUUCAUUAAAACCAUAAUGACAUUUUUUUUCUACUGCGAAGAAAUUUUUGUUUGUCAAAAAAGCAGUUUUGACCGACUUCCUUUUUCAGCUGCGAGCUUAUCCACAAUCUACUGCCUGGACUGCAUCUAACAAGCUAAACAAGUCAGCCCAAAGACAUUGUCAAUGCUUGAAAGAAAAUUCAGAGUACGGAUACAAAAAAGGGAAAGGGAUCAUCUUUUUUUUUUUUUCUUUUUGAGGCAUGACGUGACCCCUGAAAGAUGCUCGUUGGCUUUAUCACUGCAGCAGAGGAGUCCUUAUAAGGACUCUUCAUCCUCCUCUCUUAGUGACCAUCAUUAAACCUGAUGACCAGAGUUCAAGCGGCCUGUUCUGUAAACACCUACUGGAGCUGAAGGCCACCACAGAGUCCUGCUGUAUGUGAGAAUCUGACCUCUGACCUUUAAUUUGAUUUAAGGCCAAAAACUCUUUUUUUUUUUUUUUUUUUUUUUUUUUACAAAUAAAUUAAUGUUAACAUACAGGAAUAGAGCUAUUUUUUGUAAAAGCAGGUAUAUCCUUAAAAUGAAAUUCAAAAGUUAAUCUUUAAGUCUGUUUCAAGGCCCACUAGAAACAUAAAUUGGUUUUAAAGUUAAAAGAUUUUGAAAUUUUAUAUGCAAAACCGACAAAAACGUUAAUUGGAAAAAGGUUGAUUUAUUCUAAUCAUAUCGAUCAUUUUCAUAGUGUCUACAUCUGGAAGAAAGAUGAAAGCAUUUGCUUUCAACACAAAUACAUUUGCACACCGACUCACACAAGAACACAAACUUUGUUAUGUUUUCAAUUUGGGUUGAAAUGUAGACAUUUUCCCUUGGUUGCAUAACUGCCAUCCGUAUCGCUCCUCCCUUCAAUUAAAUGCUAUUUCUCCCAAACAAAAUGUCAGAAUCAUUCCACACAGGGAAGUUCGACUGUGAUUUCUUCUGAAAGCUAUGUGUCUUUCUCUUAGAUGGUGUGUGCAUUUGUAUGUGUGCGUGUGUGUGUGUGUGUCCCCUGACCUCAAAUGUAACUACUGGGAUCACAGGGAGAUGGAAAAAAGGUGACUAAGAAUACACUGAUUUCACAAGAAGAAGCAACGCACUAAACAAAUCUUUAACAGCAUAUAUGUAUAUUUAUAUAUAUACUAAAAUAAAUGCAUAUAUGUGAGAUACAAUUAAAUGAUAUAUUUAAUUAAUAUGAUUAUUAAAAACGGCAGAUUUUAGUAAUUAAGUACCAAGAAACAUCAAAUCUAAAAAAUAAUUUUCAUCAAUAUACCACAGAAAAUUUUUUUUUGAAACUUGCAUGAAAAAUACACAAAUGUUUUUAGUGACAUUGUUAUGUAAUUGAAAGCUCAAAAGAAAUUAUAAACAAAAAGAAAACAAUCAUUCUGCAAUAAACUGUGCUCAGAAAAAAUCUGUGCACAUUUCAUUAAACACAUUUUCACCUCAUUUAAAGCUCUGAAAUGUCUGGGCUGCAGCUGUUCAUCUGGUCCAUUUCUACACCGGCAUGCAGACAUGCUCGAAUCCACAGAGGGAUUCCAAGAUGGCCGCACACCUGUCAUGGAGGUGGAUUGUCCUAGUUAUGUACGGAGAUAACCUCAAGGCCUCCGCAAACUACGAAGACCCAACAGACAUCCCUAAGUUGCUGGUUCAAGCCUGGUCAAACGCCUGCCGCUCGAAAACCAUUCACUGCCCCUCACAGAGAAAGAAUAAGCCCUUGCUGUGCAUCCUUUCCUUUUCCAUCCUUCUAUCUGUCUGUCUCCCACACCCUCACAAACACACACUUCCUUUUUCUUUCCCUCCAUUGCCUCCUCUCUCUGUGUCUCUCACAUCUGAAGCGCUGAAAUGCACCCCAGGGCCAAAUCGCACAGAACAACCCCUCUGAGCCAGAGAAAAAAGCUGGAAUCCGUUUGCCCUGAUAUUUCACCAGCACCAGCCAGGAGCGAGGGGAGAGGGAAAGACAGAGGGAGAGGAGAGAAAGGGAGAGUGAGAGAGGGGGAAAGAGACUGGGGCAGAGAAAAAGGGAUAGAUGGGAAAAACGGCAGACCAGGGCUGGAUAUAUUGGGGGUGUGAGUGCCGCGCUGUAGGCUGUGGGCCGGUCAGAAGAGUGCAAGGUGUUGCUUCUAGGUGUGGUUGGGUUUGCAGAGAGGGAAGAGCAUGCAUAGAUAGAGUGGUGGAGUAAAAAAAAAAAAAAGAGGGAAAGAUGGAAGGAUUGGUCAUGCGCAAGGUGAUCAACACAUUCAGAUGGAGAGCGUCGACGAUGGAGGGAUGGAGUGAGAACGCGAUGGAGGAAAAGAAACGCAAAGUUAGACUGGGAAACACUGAGGAAUGGGACCGCAGGCCGUUGGAGGCAGCUUAGAAAUCUCUUACAUCUGGAACAGCCAUAAUUCGUGGGAUUUGGCCUGACAGCCAUGACAGGCAUUGGGGCGGCCAGCAACAACUGUCUCCUGUGUUAGUAACGCCGUUUGAGUUAUCUCCAUCUCAGACGAAGGAAUGACAAUAUGCAGUAUGUGAGUGUAAACAUGAAACUUUUUGUUCCUGCCAGGAACUUGGGAAUCGUAGUCACCUGCACAGAGGUUGACCAACUUUCUGAUUGUGGAGUUAAAACAAACAAACAAAUAAAAAAGCUUCUGUAAAUAUCUUUUAUGCAAAUUUAGUAUUUUUACAUUCUGAUGGUAAGAAAACAAUCAUUUUAAAACAAUAGUUUUAAGGCUUUGACACUACAUUGUAAAAGGAUUUCAAUUUUUAUGCGUACUUUUCAAAAAAGAACAAAAGGUAUUGGCUACAUUUCAUUAUGAUUUUCAUAAAAAAACAAAAAUUUAUCCAGCUAUCUUUUUCUUUCUUUUGCAAAAUCAUGUUAAUUUCACAUUUAGCAUUUCUUAUUUGGAAAAUGUAAAAUGAUCAAAUAUCAUAAAAUUUGAUUUAUAAGUACUUUAACACUCAGUAACUAAAAGAGGCAGAUUUUACACAUAAAAAAAUAAUUUACGGUUUCACACUAAAUGAUUUUGUAUUUUGCAAGAUUUAAUCUUAAAAGUUAUUUUUUUAUUUAACUCAUGUAGAAGGUAUUAUUUCACUCUUGUCAAUCACCUUAAAUGUUCUGAGCUGAGUAAGGUUUGCAUAUUUUAAUUGUGCCUACUUUAUUUUUGCACGAUUCUUUUGUCUUUGAUGCCAGAUAAACUGGUAUAUCUAAAUUGUGCAUGAUUUAAAUUUUUGUCUGUGUGAGGCCUCUUGGAGACUUGUAACCUGACCAGGGUUUUACCUGGUUGUGCGCUCAGAAGCAGCUGAGCGAAUCACCAGCCUCAGUAACCCAGCGACUGUCACAUCAAUUUGACAGAGAAAUUUGACAAAAGAAAUAUUCACUCAUGAUUUGGUUAAACGUUACAUGUGCAGAGCUCUCUGGGAUGCGAUGCAUAAAUUAAAUCUUGCUUGCAUUUUUGCAAGUGACUCGAAGCAGAAAAGGCAGCAGAGGCCACGUGUUUCAUGGCGUGCCAGGGGCUCCCUAAGUCGGUCCUAAAUAUUACACACAGACAGUAGCUAUCACUUCCAAGUCUGAAAUCCCACAUUCCACAUUCCUGAUUCCAACGGCACGCCUGCUAAGCUGAGCUCCACAUGAUGAGCCAUUGUUAGAGAGAGAGGGGUCAUGUAUCUCUCCUUCUGUCUGUCUCAACCCUCAUUCUUUUUCUGCGUUUGUCUCUCAGCCCGUAUAUCUCUAACUGUCACACUCACUAUCUUUCUGUUUUCCCUCUGCCUGUUCCCUCUGUUUUACAGAGUCCCCUCGUCUUCACUCUUUCUGCCUGCUGCUGUGCUUUGUCGCCUGCUUUUCCUCUAGGUUUUUCCAAGAUGUUUAUUUCUUGUUCCAGCUCCUUUUUCUUGCCCCACUCUGUUUUUUUUUUUUACCUGCUGGCCCUCGUCUCCUUAAGACUAUCACUUUGUUUUCUGCUUUUUUUUUUUUUUUUACCUUUGUGUCUCUGCCUCUGUAUCCUGCUGUCUUUCACACCAUCUCCCUUUCCCUGUGUGUCUCCAGAUAUUCAUGUAGAGAUUUUCUCACAUGUUAGAUAUAGAUUUAUGACCCCAGCCAGAUCCCUGUGGCCACUAAAUUUGAUACAAUCCACUAAGCCACAUUGUUUUUGUGUGUGCGUGUGUGUUUGUGCUUGUCUGUUGUGUGGGUAAAGUGUGUGUGUGUUCAUGCAUUACAAGGUGGAGGUGGGUGACUUUUAAAGGGUUAGCUUGGGUAUGGCUGGUGCAGAGGAGGAAUUUUCAGUUUAUUGAAGCACGGCAGUCAGGUAUUUUUGUGUGUGUAGGUGUGUGUGUGUGUGUGCAUGUGUGUAUACAUGUGAAACAGAGAAAAAGAAGGGGAGAGAGUGCCUGUGGGUGCCAGGUGACCAGGCUAACCUCUUGGCUGGUGUUUUGGAUUUAGCCUUUGGACAGCAGAGAAAAAUAAAAAUGGAAUGCUUUUUCAAUUACAGAUCAGAGACAGGGAACAAAGGCAAGAGUAAAGAGAAAGAUGAGUUAUGGAGAUCUAAUAUAUAUAUAGGCUUGACGCACUAAGAUCUGAGUGCAUUCAUUUCGACAAUUGGAACAUUUUGUGCUUCAGUAUUUGGAGAGCUCAGCACGGCUCCUAAUCUUGUUCAAUUUUCAAAAUAAUUAAUGUCACAAAAGAUGAUAUAUUUUUGAAAAUGGAGCAUGUUUUGAUGAAAAAAAAGGCAUUUUUCUUGGCAUUCAUCUAAUAAUCUAAAAGUAUGAGGGGUUUGGUUUCAUUGAUGCUGUUUGAUAUGUCAAAAGUGCAAAAGUAAGAGGGGAAAAAAUGGCAAGAGGAAAAGGUGCCGUCAUGCACACCUGUGCAGAAAAAAAAAGACAGGAACAAGUCUUCCUGUUUCUUUCUUUUUUUGGUUUUUUUACUGCAUCUUAUUAAUUCUGACAGUUGGGCCACUCACCCUCAGACAUGCAUAUUUUAUCAGCUGUAGGUGGUAUUUGUUGUGUAUUUAUGUCUUUUUGUUUGAAAACUCAAGUUUUUCAACCCGUCCCACAAGUUGUCAAGGGUGGGGAAUUUGAAAAUGACAUUGCGGAGCAGCGAGGAUUACAAUGCUUUUCUUUGAUAUGAAGUGGCUUUUUUUUGGGAUGCUUAGCUUUGAGGAAAUACACAAAAUAAAAGCAUUGCAAAGUAAAGCAGUGUUUUUGCACAUGUUUGAGUAUGCGCUGUAUGAAAUUGUGUAUCUGUCAGUCAGACUUUGUGUGUGUGUGUGUUGUUUGUGCUAGUGUGUGUCUUUGAAUGCUUGUGUGUGUGUCAGUGUGUGUCCACGCCUACAUCUAAAAGCCAUAUCUGGCUUCAGAUCAAAUGGUGUAUGAAGGAGGGGAAUGACAGAGAGUGAAAGUGAUAGCUCUUUAAUGUUACCUAUCCACUCUCAAACCCAAAUAUAAGACCAGGAACAUACAGAAUAGGCAAGUGUGUUUUAGUGGAAAAAGGGGAGACAUGAAACACUUAUGUAAAAAAGCUCUGAACAUGACGUUGGCUUUGUACCAGAGGAAAAACAUCCCGUGAAACAGAAAGAAGAAGAGUAAAUUGGAUGGAAGGAAGAGUGAAAGCAGGAGCAAAGAAUAAAACAGCGACACGCACCUCACUGUUUGUUUGUGCAUGUCAAGGUUCAGCCGUGUUUUGUAUUUCACUGAAUGCUAAAUUCAUCUUUUUCCUCAACUCCUGUGUUAAGGUGUCUAAACUUACUUUUAUCGCUGUGUAACUAAGAUGUCAUCAUGGCAGCUGCAUUCAUGCUUGUACAGUCAUGUUGAAAGAAAAUGUUUUUAAAAAGUUGCAACAAUGGUCAAGUAUUACAUAUCAUUACAACUAUUUCAUUUCUUUUUAACCAUUCCUUUUUCUUAUUUUAUCCAUUGUUGGAAAGAAACAAAAGCAAAGAUGGAGGACGGUGUUUUUAGAUCUCUUUUACUUUCUUUUUGUUUGCUAUCUGUUCUAAAUAACUGCUCAUUGCGUACCAGGAGGACAUCUGCUGUACCAAAAUAAAGACAUUCCAGUCUUCCUUUG